AUUGAACGCUGGCGGCAGGCCUAACACAUGCAAGUCGAGCGGGGACUUCGGUACUAGCGGCGUACGGGUGAGUAAUGCUUGGGAAUCUGCACAGUUGUGGGGGAUAACGCCACGAAAGGGACGCUAAUACCGCAUAGGUCCUACGGGCGAAAGAGAGGGAGAUUCGGACCGCUCGCUAUUGGAUGAGCCCAUGUCGGAUUAGCUAGUUGGUAGGGUAAUGGCCUACCAAGGCGACGAUCCGUAGCUGGUCUGAGAGGAUGAUCAGCCACACUGGAACUGAGACACGGUCCAGACUCCUACGGGAGGCAGCAGUGGGGAAUAUUGGACAAUGGGCGAAAGCCUGAUCCAGCCAUGCCGCGUGUGUGAAGAAGGCCUUCGGGUUGUAAAGCACUUUAAGCGGGGAGGAAGGUUUGCGGCCGAAUACGUCGCGGAAUUGACGUUACCCGAAGAAUAAGCACCGGCUAACUCUGUG
rnacentral:rRNA from 1 species